AUGAACGCUGGCGGCGUGCCUAAUACAUGCAAGUCGAGCGAACGGACGAGAAGCUUGCUUCUCUGAUGUUAGCGGCGGACGGGUGAGUAACACGUGGAUAACCUACCUAUAAGACUGGGAUAACUUCGGGAAACCGGAGCUAAUACCGGAUAAUAUUUUGAACCGCAUGGUUCAAAAGUGAAAGACGGUCUUGCUGUCACUUAUAGAUGGAUCCGCGCUGCAUUAGCUAGUUGGUAAGGUAACGGCUUACCAAGGCAACGAUGCAUAGCCGACCUGAGAGGGUGAUCGGCCACACUGGAACUGAGACACGGUCCAGACUCCUACGGGAGGCAGCAGUAGGGAAUCUUCCGCAAUGGGCGAAAGCCUGACGGAGCAACGCCGCGUGAGUGAUGAAGGUCUUCGGAUCGUAAAACUCUGUUAUUAGGGAAGAACAUAUGUGUAAGUAACUGUGCACAUCUUGACGGUACCUAAUCAGGAAGCCACGGCUAACUACGUG
rnacentral:rRNA from 1 species